CCCAGGCCCUGCUUUUGACUUUCCGC
rnacentral:piRNA from 1 species